CCUACAGGAAUUAAGGUAUUUAGAUCAUUAGCUACAUUAUAUGGAACUAAAUUCAAGUUCAAUCCACCAUUAUUAUGAGCUCUAGGAUUUAUUUUCCUAUUUACAAUUGGUGGAUUAACAGGAUUAGUAUUAGCAAAUUCAUCACUUGAUAUUGUAUUACAUGAUACAUAUUAUGUAGUAGCCCACUUUCAUUAUGUAUUAUCUAUAGGAGCAGUAUUUGCAAUUAUAGGAGGUGUCAUUCAAUGAUAUCCACUAUUUACAGGAUUAACUAUAAAUAAUACAUGAUUAAAAAUCCAAUUUACAAUUAUAUUCAUUGGAGUAAAUUUAACAUUCUUUCCUCAACACUUCCUAGGAUUAGCAGGAAUACCUCGACGAUACUCUGACUACCCAGACGCAUAUACAUCAUGAAACGUUGUAUCAAGAAUUGGGUCUACAAUUUCUAUUGUAAGAAUCAUUAUAUUCAUUGUAAUUAUAUGAGAAAGAAUGAUUACAAACCGAGCAAUUAUAUUUAGAGCUAACAUAAGAAGAUCAACAGAAUGACUACAAAAUAACCCUCCUGCAGAACAUAGUUACUCAGAAUUACCAUUAAUCUCUAGAUUCUAAUAUGGCAGAUUAGUGCAGUAGAUUUAAGCUCUACAAAUAAAGGUUUGACCUUUUAUUAGAAAAUAUUUAUUAAUGGCAACAUGAUCAAAUUUAUCUCUUCAAGAUGGAGCUUCACCAUUAAUGGAGCAAUUAUCAUUCUUUCAUGAUCAUACUAUGGUCGUAUUAUUAUUAAUUACAGUAAUUGUAGGUUAUGCCCUAAAUUAUAUAUUAUUUAUUGCCUAUACUAACCGUAAUAUACUUCAUGGACAUUUAAUUGAAACAAUCUGAACAGCUUUACCAGCAAUUACAUUAAUUUUUAUUGCCCUUCCAUCAUUACGACUAUUAUAUUUACUUGAUGAUUCAGUAGAUGCAAUAAUUACAAUUAAAACCAUUGGACGACAAUGAUAUUGAAGAUAUGAAUAUUCAGACUUCAUAGACGUAGAAUUUGACACUUAUAUAACACCAGAACAAGACCUAGAAAAUGAUGGAUUCCGACUACUAGAUGUAGAUAACCGAACAAUUCUACCAAUAAAUACAGAAGUACGAGUAUUAACAAGAGCAUCAGAUGUUCUACACUCAUGAGCAGUUCCUGCAUUAGGGGUUAAAAUUGAUGCAACGCCAGGUCGGUUAAAUCAAGGAACAUUCACAAUAAAUCGACCUGGAUUAUUCUUUGGACAAUGCUCAGAAAUCUGUGGAGCAAACCACAGAUUUAUACCAAUUGUAAUUGAAAGAACUUCAGUAAAUUUAUUUAUUAAGUGAUUAUCUAAGAUAAUUUAA